AAAAGGGAAUUCCAACCUGUGGAACCUUGGGGGGUCCCCGGGGUCGGCGCCUUCCCAUUGACUGUGGGCGGUGCAAGGGACGGAGCCUCUGGCGGCUCGUGGGGGUGUUGGGGUCCGCAGGGGGAGGGAGGGGAGUGUCAGAGUGUGAGCGGGGUACGGGAAUUCCAAAUUUGAGGGCCUCCCGGCUCUGGCGCCGGGGAGGGAGAGCUCAGGCCGCCAUGCGGGACAGGACCCACGAGCUGAGACAGGGGGAUGACAGCUCGGACGAAGAGGACAAGGAGCGGGUCGCGCUGGUGGUGCACCCGGGCACGGCACGGCUGGGGAGCCCGGACGAGGAGUUCUUCCACAAGGUCCGGACAAUUCGGCAGACUAUUGUCAAACUGGGGAAUAAAGUCCAGGAGUUGGAGAAACAGCAGGUCACCAUCCUGGCCACGCCCCUUCCCGAGGAGAGUGAGUGAAACCCCGGCUGCAGGGCGCAUGCUCCGCCCCAGGGAUUGUGGGGGUUGUAGUUCCAUGCAGGUGGUGGCCAGAGUGGUUUGUUGAGGUGGGGGCUGCUGUUUGGGAGUCUUGGCCUUCUCUUAUUCAGGCAUGAAGCAGGAGCUGCAGAACCUGCGCGAUGAGAUCAAACAGCUGGGGAGGGAGAUCCGCCUGCAGCUGAAGGGUGAGCUCCUGGGACCUCAGACAGAUCCUUCCCUCUGAUCCUGCCCUGUUGUUGGUAUAUCUGGGGAGUGUGUGGCCCAGAGAAGCCAGUGAUAUAUCCAGGUCACACAGCAGGCCUGGGUCUAGCAUCUCUGUCUCCUGGCCUCCAGGCCAUUGUACUCUCCACAGCACAAGUCCGCCUCUCAGGUUCUUUUAUUUACAAUGAAACCAUUUACUUACACAGUUAUCGCUGCCCACUGGGCAUUCUUUGGGCAGGGAGAUGGAGUUUUGUUAGGUGGCCUCUGCAUACCUAUGGGAACUCAGUGAUGUAAUGCAAAGAAAAAUAAACUUACUUUCUCCUCUUA
rnacentral:sRNA from 1 species